AAUAUCCGUUAUGGAAAAUUCAUCAUUAAAAUUGUAAUAUUUAAAUAAUAUUAUUAAGAAUAAUGUGCAUUUUUUCCAUAUAAGGACAUUGUAAUCUAUUAGCAUAUCCCAAAUUUAUCAUAAAAUAUAACUUAUAGUUUAUUCCAAUUAAAUUGCUUGCAUUUUAACACAGAAUAAAUGUUAUUAAUUUGAUAAAGUGCUGAUAGAUUUAUAUUAUUACAGAGCGUUAAUUUUUCGGAAUUAUAUAAUGGCAUAAUUAUCAUUGAUUUUUGUGUUUAUUAUAUGCUCUUGUAUGAUUAACAAUGCGAAAGAUUCAGGAUACCUUCGGGACCCGUCUUGAAACACGGACCAAGGAGUCUAACAUAUGUGCAAGUUAUUGGGAUGUAAACCUAAUAGCGUAAUUAACUUGACUAAUAAUGGGAUUAGUUUUUUAGCUAUUUAUAGCUAAUUAACACAAUCCCGGGGCGUUCUAUAUAGUUAUGUAUAAUGUAUAUUUAUAUUAUUUAUGCCUCUAACUGGAACGUACCUUGAGCAUAUAUGCUGUGACCCGAAAGAUGGUGAACUAUACUUGAUCAGGUUGAAGUCAGGGGAAACCCUGAUGGAAGACCGAAACAGUUCUGACGUGCAAAUCGAUUGUCAGAAUUGAGUAUAGGGGCGAAAGACCAAUCGAACCAUCUAGUAGCUGGUUCCUUCCGAAGUUUCCCUCAGGAUAGCUGGUGCAUUUUAAUAUUAUAUAAAAUAAUCUUAUCUGGUAAAGCGAAUGAUUAGAGGCCUUAGGGUCGAAACGAUCUUAACCUAUUCUCAAACUUUAAAUGGGUAAGAACCUUAACUUUCUUGAUAUGAAGUUCAAGGUUAUGAUAUAAUGUGCCCAGUGGGCCACUUUUGGUAAGCAGAACUGGCGCUGUGGGAUGAACCAAACGUAAUGUUACGGUGCCCAAAUUAACAACUCAUGCAGAUACCAUGAAAGGCGUUGGUUGCUUAAAACAGCAGGACGGUGAUCAUGGAAGUCGAAAUCCGCUAAGGAGUGUGUAACAACUCACCUGCCGAAGCAACUAGCCCUUAAAAUGGAUGGCGCUUAAGUUGUAUACCUAUACAUUACCGCUAAAGUAGAUGAUUUAUAUUACUUGUGAUAUAAAUUUUGAAACUUUAGUGAGUAGGAAGGUACAAUGGUAUGCGUAGAAGUGUUUGGCGUAAGCCUGCAUGGAGCUGCCAUUGGUACAGAUCUUGGUGGUAGUAGCAAAUAAUCGAAUGAGACCUUGGAGGACUGAAGUGGAGAAGGGUUUCGUGUGAACAGUGGUUGAUCACGAGUUAGUCGGUCCUAAGUUCAAGGCGAAAGCCGAAAAUUUUCAAGUAAAACAAAAAUGCCUAACUAUAUAAACAAAGCGAAUAUAAUACACUUGAAUAAUUUUGAACGAAAGGGAAUACGGUUCCAAUUCCGUAACCUGUUGAGUAUCCGUUUGUUAUUAAAUAUGGGCCUCGUGCUCAUCCUGGCAACAGGAACGACCAUAAAGAAGCCGUCGAGAGAUAUCGGAAGAGUUUUCUUUUCUGUUUUAUAGCCGUACUACCAUGGAAGUCUUUCGCAGAGAGAUAUGGUAGAUGGGCUAGAAGAGCAUGACAUAUACUGUUGUGUCGAUAUUUUCUCCUCGGACCUUGAAAAUUUAUGGUGGGGACACGCAAACUUCUCAACAGGCCGUACCAAUAUCCGCAGCUGGUCUCCAAGGUGAAGAGUCUCUAGUCGAUAGAAUAAUGUAGGUAAGGGAAGUCGGCAAAUUAGAUCCGUAACUUCGGGAUAAGGAUUGGCUCUGAAGAUUGAGAUAGUCGGGCUUGAUUGGGAAACAAUAACAUGGUUUAUGUGCUCGUUCUGGGUAAAUAGAGUUUCUAGCAUUUAUGUUAGUUACUUGUUCCCCGGAUAGUUUAGUUACGUAGCCAAUUGUGGAACUUUCUUGCUAAAAUUUUUAAGAAUACUAUUUGGGUUAAACCAAUUAGUUCUUAUCAAUUAUAACGAUUAUCAAUUAACAAUCAAUUCAGAACUGGCACGGACUUGGGGAAUCCGACUGUCUAAUUAAAACAAAGCAUUGUGAUGGCCCUAGCGGGUGUUGACACAAUGUGAUUUCUGCCCAGUGCUCUGAAUGUCAAAGUGAAGAAAUUCAAGUAAGCGCGGGUCAACGGCGGGAGUAACUAUGACUCUUAGGGGAUCAGGGGUAAUUGCGAGCAGAGGGGGAGUAUUUUUCUGUAAUUCGUAAGUCAUAUCAUAUGGUGUGCGGAAGGGGAAUUUUACUCUGUAACUCACAAGUCUCUCCUUUACUCAAGUCGACUCAAAACCUCCUCGUGGUGGUCCCCGGUAAUGCUAAACUUGUUUAGCAGCUAAUUUGAGCGGCAAAACUUUUCCGAUGGGUUGGUUCCCCAGAGGAAAUUUAUUCAUAUUGGAACUACAAAUAGAAAUAACGAGCCUCGGAGCAAUUUACGCAAUCUGAUGACGACCCGACCCUCCGUGGACAUCUUCCCGGAGGACCAAUAUGAACCAAACGCAGCGGCUACUCUAUCUAGGGUACCCUGCACAGUAUGUGGCCGGUCCUUUAACAGCAAGAGAGGACUCGGUGUUCACAUGCGAUCUCGGCACCCAGACGAACUUGAUGAAGAACGUCGACGUGUCGAUAUAAAGGCAAGGUGGAGUGAGGAAGAGAAGUGGAUGAUGGCGAGAAAGGAGGUUGAGCUCACAGCAAAUGGACAUAAACACAUAAACAAGCAACUAGCGGUGUAUUUUGCAAACCGCAGCGUCGAAGCCAUCAAAAAGCUAAGACAAAGGGGCGAUUAUAAGGAGAAAAUAGAGCAGAUAAGAAGGCAAUCAGCUCUCGUCCCGGAAGUUGCAAAUCUAACCAUAAGGCGCCGCCCUAGUAGAAGUGAGCAAAACCACCAAGUAACAACAUCAGAAACAACUCCAAUCACACCCUUCGAACAGUCGAACAGGGAAAUUUUGCGGACACUGCGUGGGUAUAGCCCCGUAGAAUGCCAUUCCAAAUGGAGAGCCCAAGAGCUACAAACGAUCAUUGACAGGGCAGAGCUCGAGGGAAAGGAAACCACUCUCCAAUGCUUAUCGCUAUAUCUCCUAGGAAUUUUUCCGGCACAGGGUGUACGUCACACUCUGACGAGACCUCCUCGGAGGCCUCGA
rnacentral:rRNA from 1 species